ensembl:lncRNA
GGUCUCUGUGGCUACUGAUUGCACGUCAGGCAGGGUUUCAGGCAGCAUUGGGGUGUGCCGUGUAAUUCACACAUCGCUAUAGAGUGUCCACAAGGCCACAAAACUCCUAUCACCCACAGAAGGCACGAAAGGAUCUGUUGACUCAAUCAGGUGGCAUCAUUAGAUGAGUGUCCAUCACAGGCGCGUAACUGCAACCGUGCUCGGGCGCCGUGGGGUCAUCAGAGCCGGAGGCUGUGGACACAGGCGGUGUCCCUGUACAGUACUGGGAUUAUCCUGUCGAAGAACGUGAUAAAUAUAGUGCAGGACAGGUGGCUCCACUUCGUGACUUUUGAAAUGAGAGGCCCAGUGAGAGCCUAAGAGACGAGUGAUGCUAAUCCCCUUCCGCCUCUUGACAAGGACGGCCAGGACUGCAUCUCACAGCUCGUGGGGACAGAUGAUCCCAGGACAGCAUCUCAGAUAUACAGUGCAAAAAGCAUCCUUUGUGUCAGCAGCCAAAGCCACUCACCUGGGACAUGCAGCCUCAUCCUUCACGUUUGGCAUUUUGAUCCCCUGUUCUAUCUGAGGCUUAAAAUGACACAGCUGCCAUGGUAUGUGAAAGCCGCCUUCGCUCUGUUUACUGUUUCAUUUCAUCCUUGAUUUCUCAUCACUUUUCGAGGUAUUGAACGCAUUAUUGAAAGGCUGGGUUGACGUCUACAACCCUCCUUCAACUGUCUUCAAUUUUCUCAGCCAGAUAUUUUAACAGUUACUGCAACUCUGUUGCAGGGUGUAAAAACAUUUGUGUUCUCUUAUUGGAAAAAAAAAAUAAUCAGUAAAAUCUGACUACAACAUCUGUGGAUCUUAAUACAAUGUUUGAGUCAGAAAUGAUAGACUUUCCAUCCAGACACAGUGGCAUUUGAAGUUCUGAAUGAUGAAGAUGUUCUGGAGCCCAGGAUGCAGGGGCUUAGUGCAGUUAACCACGCUGUCCGGCUGGACCAUGGCCAGGAAGUGAGUCGCAGACAGAGUUCCACUGGGGGACCACUGCCGCCAGCCUGAGCCCAGAGUCCAUCUAGGAGGAGGAGGCUCGUGGGGAUGGGCCGCUUGGGGCAUGGGCAGAGUCCUCUCUGCCAGCACUCAACACACAGGAGACUUUCCCAGCAAACACCCACCAGGGAAGUCUGGGAACAAGGUGCCCACAGAAGCCAAGCGUGUACUGGAACCUGGAGCGGAAAGCCUGCAUUGGAGGCACCCUGACUCCCCAGGGCUACAAGUUUGGGCAUCAACCACUAGGGCCUCAAAAACUGUCUUUGGGAGAAAUGUGACAGGGGUGAGGGUGGUGUCAUGCGCUCCAGGGAGCUAAGGUGCAGAAUCCGUCCUUGGAGGAUGUGACCGAGGCCAUCACGGCACAAAACCACCAGAUUUCUUAGAGGAGCUGGUUGUGAUCCCCGAGGGUCCACUCUAACUGUGACGGCGGGGACUCUGCUGGCCAGAAGGGAGGUGACAGGGAGGGCGUCCCAGAAGCAGACAAGACUGCUCCCAAGACUCCUGGCCAGUGGCCAGAAACACGAGGACCAGCAGGGGUCUAUGUGCCAGGCCAACUUCUUCAGACACAUUUACACUCCCAGCAUCUGUGUGGAAGCUUUGCCAUCUAGCCCCCUCUGGUUUCGCCUGCACUGGCCACCCCGCCUUUCUCUUACUGGGUUCAGCUUGGACUCACACUGACUUUGGCCCUCCAGCGGUCCCAGUCCCUGCCUCAGUGACGCUCCCUCCCCACCGCCCCAUUCACUUAGGUCAUUAUGUUUCCCUAAGGCAGGGAGAUACACCCAGCAUCCUGGGAGGUGGGGACGGGGAGGUGUCUGCUCCCUCCAGGCUGGCUGCUCCUGGCAUAUGACUUGGGCACAGUGUUGGUACCCCUUCCUUCAUUUAUGGAAAAUUACCAGUUCACAGA